rnacentral:lncRNA from 1 species
UUUAUAUAACAGAUUAUGUUAUGAAAAUAAGUAAAUAGAGAGAGUAAUAGAGAGAAGGAGAAGAAGAGAGAAUAAGAGCAGUAUUCUUAUUCACUAAUGUGUGUCUCAAUGUUACAAAUGAGCUCUAUUUAUAGGGAAAUAGAGUAGCUUAUGAAUUAAGCCCAAUAACCUAGUAGUAUGGCCCACUAACACAUUUGCUAUUUGGACAUCCACUAUUAAUAUUUAUAACACUCCCCCUUGGAUGUCCAUUGAAGAUAUGCCUCAUUAAAACCUUACUAGAGAAAAACCUAAUAGGAGAAAAAUUCUAGUGAAGGAAAAGAGUACAAUAUCCCUUUUGUGUAUGAUAAUCUGCCUCGUUAAAAACCUUACCAGGAAAACCCAAUGGGACAAAACCAUGGUUAAGGCAAAAAGAGUGCAGAACACAUUUAUGUCUCCCCCUCAUAAAGACAAUCAUAUAUGAGACGAAGAAAGUCAAAUAAUAUUUGUUCUAGUUACUCAAAAGUUUACUUGCAGCAACUUUGUUGAAAUAUCUGGUUUAUCUUCAUAGUCAUCUUCAAAUUAGUAGUGCUUGAGAAGUUUCUUCAUAUUGAGUUGUUGCAAGACCCCCUUUAAGAAAUCAACAAGUUUCUUGUACUUGUAAAAUCAUCAUCCUUGAUAAAAAAGCGUUCUUCACUUCCUUGAUUAUGUUGCUUCUUUAAGAUACAAAAUAUAUGCUUGACUUUGUUCUGAUAUCUGUAUUUACUA